rnacentral:tRNA from 1 species
GAUUUAAUUAUAUAGAAGAUCUAUAAAUAGUAAAAUAAUUUUAGUAGCUAAUUAUUUU